UGCCGGGGUUGCCUAGCCCGGAAAGGCGGUAGGCUCGAGACCUACUUCUCCACCCGGAGAACAGGAGUUCAAAUCUCCUCCCCGGCGU
rnacentral:tRNA from 1 species